CUAUUCGAGCGCAAACCGUGUGUUUUUUUUAUUGAACGGAAACGAACGAAACGCGCUGGGCAUCUCGCUCGGCGGUCCGCGUUAUUAAAACGCUCGUGUUUACGACGCGAAUGGCUUGGUGCGCAGUGGCGAGGUUUAUGAAAAUAAGGGUAUACACCAUUUUGAACGGAAGGAGGAAGUCGUAAUUAACUUGGUCUGCUUUCGAGGCCGUGGGUUUCAAUUCUCUGAUUGUGUUUACGUGCCCCUGUGUUUUUACAAACGUGGCAGGAAUGACCCUGCACCAUGAUGGAAAAUCCAGCUUUAGCUGGCAGCUCUGUUUUACGACAUGGUUUCUAGGUGAUGUAAGUUGGUAACUAGCUGGUUGACUAGUUACCAAAACCACCUUGAUCAACUGUUGUCUUGCUGCUCCAAGAUGGUGCACUAGUUAGAAAGUUAUGGCCUUCUUGGACCACGCAAAACACAACUACGCCGAAUUUGAUUUAGAAGUCUAACUUACGAUUUUUAAUUCAGAUGUUAAUUAAGAUAAACUGGUCUUCAACGCUCAAGUGUUUUUAAUCAAACCAAUCAUUUGAUCCGUUGGAGGAAGUGUGCAAGUCUGCAUAACAAACAAUGCAUUGUUUUAGCCCGAAUGUUUAGUCUCCGUUGAGUGGAAUUGCAUGAUUGAAGGAAGUUUUGGAUGUCUGGCCGUUGAAAUGAAUCUUAGUCAGCAGUCUUCAGGCCUGUGCGGGCACGUAUGCAUAGACCUUUUUAAUGUUUGGAGUAUGGCUGACUUGUUGUGGCUGCUGCCAAUGGCUGGUUUUGGUGAUGACGCUCCUGUCGUUGAGCUGCUCCUUAGCGCUGCUUUUCAUAUUGUGGUGACGGUAGCCACGGGGAGGGGGCCUUUGCCUUGCAUUUUGGCCAAUAGAGGUGGUUAGAAGAGGCCACACCUACCAGACCCUGCGGAGGGUAUCCAUGGUUGGGGUUUCAGGGGGAGUGUUACGAGAGUCAUCAUCCCAAGCAGAGACUGCAGCGAAAUCACAAAGGAGCCCAGCUUUGAUGUCAUAGCAUGGCGUGUCAACAUGUUUUCUCAAAAAUGCACCAUUUAAUUUGCUUGCAACAGAUGCACCACUAGAAUUCAAUGGGGAUAUCUGAUGUCUUGCUCAUUAAAGUUAUCAUGCCAGUUACAUGUCUUUUUAAAAUUGUAUUUGAAUAGGUAAACCUUUAUUAUGUUUAAUCGCAGUUUUCUUAAAGUAAGUGAUUAUUAUAGCUAUAUAUAGACAUGUAGUAAUAAAAUACUUAUGAAAAGGAAAAACUAAAGAAAGCCCUAUACAUCUGGUAAAAUAUAUAAACGCACUGCAAGAAGAAAUUUUUAUAUUUGCUAUAAAUAAUACAUUGUAACUCGUAACCUUCUGUUGUCGUAUUUUUCUAGUUAAAAAAAUCAACAUUUCUGCAUGAUUGGCCUACAUUAUUUUAAAAAAAUGCCUCUAAAAUUAGUUCUUUUUGAUCAAUUUCACAGAGCGCUUUUACUUUCCAGCCUCUCUUUGUCAUAAAGAUCCAAUCAAUUGCUAAAGUCAUCAUGCCUUAAACGUAUAUUCUGUUUCCUACUGCAAUGCAUCAUAUUACAGAAGUGAAAUUGGUAGUAAAUGGCAUUUCGCGUUGCUUAGAAAGCGCUGCACAUUUCCGACAUUAGUGUGAGCCGGCUCGCAAAUUACACCGUUUAAGAACGAAGAAUGAUUUUCCAACGUGGCUUGGUUUGUUCAUAUUUUAAGUGAGGCGUUUAGGGACUUUCAGUCGUCUGAUCAAAAUGGGCACCGUACAGUCAGGGAGGAAUGCAGAGGACUGCAUGCGGUGCAUUUUAAAGGCUGCGUUUCUGCAGGGAGGUGCGUUUCAUGCACAUGACAAGUGUGAACUUCCCAAUGCGGCCAUCAUACACGCGUGCAUACGAUACGGUAGUCUGCAAAUGCUGUUAUAGUGUGUGUGGAUGACGCAGAGAUUAGAGAACCUACAGGCAAUAACUACCUGUUUUUGUCACGAGAACUUUGUGAAUUGAGUGAAUAUAUCACAACGCUGUCUCCGU